GUUAUUUUCUAGAAUUCUAAAUUGACUUGUAUACUCUCAUUUAAAUUUGUGAAAUAUGAAGAACAAUUGUGUUGUAGGCAUGUUAUAUAAAUAUCUUUUAAAAUGUUUUUUAAUUUUAUUUUAGCUUGAAUGAAGAAAUGCCCACUUGCCUACCAUCAUUUUCUUUAUCUCAGAACCCUGGGCAACAGUCUGUAAAAGAAGAGAAUUUAAAAAACAGGUCAAUGAAGAGUAACCAGACAGGCAGCAUGUUAUCACUUCAGGAGAAAACAAAACCUUUUCUCUGGAAGUCCUAAUAUUUCUACCAUAGUUCUGAGUUAUCUCAGAGCUGGAACAGCCACCUCCGAUGGGUCAGAAAGAUCAUCCCUGUAGAAAUCUGGCCUGAGAAGACUUUUGGUAAAAUGUUUCGGGAAUGAUCAAAUGCAUAGAAAAAGACAUUGAAACUAGUCAUACAAUAAAAAUGAGGAGCAAAUAAUGGAGAGCCUGUUU
rnacentral:lncRNA from 1 species